AGCUUUUUGAAUCCGUGCUGAGAUUUCGUCAGACACCAACCCCUUUAGGGCUGAUCAGACUUUCAAGAUAAGUGAAGUU
rnacentral:pre_miRNA from 1 species